GCACCGCGACCCCAGGUCAGGCGGGACUACCCG
rnacentral:rRNA from 1 species